rnacentral:rRNA from 1 species
GUUUAUGGCCAUAUCAUGUUGAAUGCACCAGUUCUUGUCCAAUCACUAAAGUUAAGCAAUGUCAAGCCCAGUUGGUAUUUGGACGAGUGACCACUUGGGAAACCUAGGUGCUGUAAGCA